CAGACACGCGCCCCAGGAACCAGCCAAUCAGCACAGGCCAUCAACUCCACUGGAUAUCUGGUUGGCUGGCAUAUUGCUGGGUGUAAUGAUGGAGUACCAACGAGUGAGCCUUGCAGACAAACAGUCGGUAAUAACGGACGUGUAAGCAGAUGCACCGCUGGCCAUGACGUGUUUUGUGGGGAGACGUCGCGAGCCAAAAUGGAAUGAUCCAAUCGUCAAUGAGCUUCCUGCUGGGAAGCAGGUGCAGCUCAACGACGUGCAUCAUGUCUGCCUGAAACGGAGGUAUCAGUGUGUCUUUCAGUGACCGAGUUAGCAAUCUGUCUGUCUGACACUGGGGUGGCAAUCUGUCAGUCUGACACUUAGGUAGCCGUCUGUCUGUCACUGAGGUAGCGAUCUGUCCGUCAGUCCCUGAGGUAGUGAUCUGUCCGUCAGAACCUGAGGUAGAGAUCUGUCUGCCUGACACUGAGGUAGAAAUCUGUCUGUCUAACAUUGUGGUAGCAAUGUGUCUGCUUGACACUGAGUUAGGAAUCUGUCUGUCUGCACUGAGGAAGCAAAGAAAUAGAGAAAAUGGAAAAUCAAGCAAAAUCCUAGACAAGCACAAACACCAAAUUCCCGGAGCAGAGCCGCCGGACUCACGCCAGGGGCAGCCGGGCCACAGGCAGCCCGGCCGCAGACCGGGGAGCCCGGCCGCAGGCAGCCCUCAGCCGGGGAGCCCGCAGCCGGGGAGCCCGCGUCCGGGGAGCCCGCAGUCGGGGAGCCCGCAGUCGGGGAGCCCGCAGCCGGG
ensembl:lncRNA